rnacentral:rRNA from 1 species
UACAUGGGGUGCAAACGUUGCUCGGAAUUAUUGGGCGUAAAGCGCACGUAGGUGGUCUGUUAUGUCAGACUGUGGAAAGCCCUCGGCUUAACUGAGGAAGUGCACCUGAAACUGGCAGGCUUGAGUACGAAAGAGGGUCGCGGAAUUCCCGGUGUAGAGGUGAAAUUCGUAGAUAUCGGGAGGAACACCGGUGGCGAAGGCGGCGACCUGGUUCGAUACUGACACUGAGGUGCGAAAGGCGUGGGGAAGCAAACGAGGAUUAACGAAACC